CCUACGGGUGGCUGCAGUGGGGAAUUUUCCGCAAUGGGCGAAAGCCUGACGGAGCAAUACCGCGUGAGGGAGGAAGGCUCUUGGGUUGUAAACCUCUUUUCUCAGGGAAGAACACAAUGACGGUACCUGAGGAAUCAGCAUCGGCUAACUCCGUGCCAGCAGCCGCGGUAAUACGGAGGAUGCAAGCGUUAUCCGGAAUGAUUGGGCGUAAAGCGUCCGCAGGUGGCAGUGCAAGUCUGCUGUCAAAGGUCAGGGCUUAACCCUGAACAGGCGGU
rnacentral:rRNA from 1 species